rnacentral:rRNA from 2 species
UACGUAGGGGGCGAGCGUUAUCCGGAUUCAUUGGGCGUAAAGCGCUCGUAGGCGGCCUGCUAGGUCGGGAGUCAAAUGCGGGGGCCCAACCCCCGGCCGCUCCCGAUACCGGCGGGCUUGAGUUUGGUAGGGGAAGGCGGAAUUCCCGGUGUAGCGGUGGAAUGCGCAGAUAUCGGGAAGAACACCGGUGGCGAAGGCGGCCUUCUGGGCCACAACUGACGCUGAGGAGCGAAAGCUGGGGGAGCGAACAGG